GGGCCAAGUGGGGUGCUUACACUGCAGUCGAGCGGUAAGGCCUUUCGGGGUACACCAGCGGCGAACGGGUGAGUAACACGUGGGUGAUCUGCCCUGCACUCUGGGAUAAGCUUGGGAAACUGGGUCUAAUACCGGAUAUGACCGCAUCAUGCAUGUGUUGUGGUGGAAAGAUUUAUCGGUGCAGGAUGGGCCCGCGGCCUAUCAGCUUGUUGGUGGGGUAAUGGCCUACCAAGGCGACGACCGGUAGCCGACCUGAGAGGGUGACCGGCCACACUGGGACUGAGACACGGCCCAAACUCCUACCGGAGGCAGCAGUGGGGAAUAUUGCACAAUGGGCGGAAGCCUGAUGCAGCGACGCCGCGUGAGGGAUGAAGGCCUUCGGGUUGUAAACCUCUUUCAGCAAGGACGAAGCGUGAGUGACGGUACCUGCAGAAGAAGCACCAGCUAACUACGUGCCAACAGCCGCGGUAAUACGUAAGGUGCGAGCGUUGUCCGGAAUUACUGGGCGUAAAGAGUUCGUACGCGGUUUGUCGCGUCGUUUGUGAAAACCCGGGGCUCAACUUCCGGCUUGCAGGCGAUACGGGCAGACUUGAGUGUUUCAGGGGAGACUGGGAUUCCUGGUGUAGCGGUGAAAUGCGCAAAUAUCAGGAGGAACACCGGUCGCGAAAGCAUGUCUCUCGGAAACAACUGACGCUCAGGAACGAAAGCGUGUGUUCCCAACCGGAUUAGAUACCCUGGUAGUCCACGCCGUAAACGGUGGGCGCUAGGUGUGGGGUUCCUUCCACCGGAAUCUGUGCCCCACCUAACGCAGUAAAGGGCCCCCUCAGCGGCGAAGAGGGCCCCCAG
rnacentral:rRNA from 1 species